AGCUCGAUUUGAAUAGGUCCUAAGUGAUUUUUUUGUUUAUCGAAGAUAAUGAUUGGCAAAGUUUUGGAGUGGAAAAUUAAUUCCUAUUUAACAUUUAUAAGGAAAAUGUGUGCAAAUUUCGUGCCAAAAAUACAAAUAAAAAUUGUUGUACAACUCGAGUAAUCAAAAUAAUGAUUUUUCAUAUAAAACAAUUGUUUUUGAAUAUAAAAAUUGUUUCGCGUCUAAAUGAGCUUUAUACUUGUACAUUCGACCUAACCGAUUCGACCUAAUGUCAGUCACUAUGUUGCUUUCGACAGUGAUGUUCAGACUGUUUGACAGUUGUUUGUGUACAUUCGACCGGCGACGAUCGGACUGUUUGAUCACUGCUAUCGCACAUACGACCCAUCAUUAUUGAAUAAAAAUACAAACAAUAAAUCAUAUUUUGAGGACAUAUUUAGGCGAAUUAAGCAUAGCACAUUUGCCGAUCCAUGGCGCCACAAUACGUUGAUACAAGGAGCUGCAAUAUGCCGAUUCAUGGCGACUCAAAGAAAGCUGCAGAACAAGCUAAAAUGGAACAAACGACGAAGAUCCCAACCGUCCGGAGGAAAUAGAAGAAAUCAGUGGAGAUACAAUCACCGACGAAAUACGAAUACGGCCGAUUCAUAUGAUGACGAUUAUCGGUAUGCUGACUGUGGGAAUCCGAAGAUUCCUAUAUUGCAUCGCGAGAACCUUCAGCAAAACAGAUGCAAUUUGUCAAUGUGCUGCGAACGAGCCACGAAUGAAUCGAGAUAACUUAUCUAUAUGUGCUGAGCCAACACAGUGAACGGCUUUUCGUGGUGUUCUCGACAACCCGAGAGAACCGGGGAGAGAACAAGGAAGGAAGAUUUCAAACGGGUUUUGCAAAUCACGAUGACUAAAUUAGCUUCCGGCUUCUUACGUUCAAAACGAUUAACCCGGGAAAUGGUGCUGACCGAUGUGGGAACCCGAUUUAUGCUGAAGCUACAUCAGAUCAAGUUGGGAACGAGGUUGGGAACGCUGAUGCGGCGUAACAGAAUGGGUCUAUCGACCGUACAUGAACACGGCCGCCAAACGGCCACGACGACGGGUGGUAGCAGGAUUAUGAUACAAUGUUAAGGGCGAGGAUAAGGGUAUAACAAUAAAGAUUAUAUUGUUAA